UACAGAGGGUGCGAGCGUUGUCCGGAAUCACUGGGCGUAAAGGGCGCGUAGGCGGCUUUUCAAGCGUGCGGUGAAAGCUCGGGGCUUAACUCCGAGUCUGCCGUGCGAACUGGGAGGCUUGAGUCUGGUAGAGGUCGAUGGAAUUCCGGGUGUAGCGGUGGAAUGCGCAGAUAUCAGGAGGAACACCGGUGGCGAAGGCGGGUCUCUGGGCCGAUACUGACGCUGAGGAGCGAAAGCGUGGGGAGCGAACAGG
rnacentral:rRNA from 1 species